UACGUAGGGAGCAAGCGUUGUCCGGAAUCAUUGGGCGUAAAGCGCGCGUAGGCGGCCCCGUAAGUCCGCUGUGAAAGUCAAAGGCUCAACCUUUGAAAGCCGGUGGAUACUGUGGGGCUAGAGUCCGGAAGAGGCGAGUGGAAUUCCUGGUGUAGCGGUGGAAUGCGCAGAUAUCAGGAGGAACACCAAUAGCGAAGGCAGCUCGCUGGGACGGUACUGACGCUAAGGCGCGAAAGCGUGGGGAGCGAACAG
rnacentral:rRNA from 1 species